rnacentral:lncRNA from 1 species
AACAACCGCCUGUCCCACCCCUUAAGGUUAUUUUUCAAUUUGCAAGAGAUUGGUAUGAUGCCAACAAGUGUUCUUCUAGUAAGCCUCCUAGACAAAUCAUCUCAAUCCAUUGGAUCCGUCCGCCAAUUGGUAGAUAUAAAAUCAAUACAGAUGGGAGUUGUAAAGAUCCAUUUAGCCACAUAAGUGCCGGAGGUUUGAUUCGCAAUUCUGAAGGGGAUUGGAUUAAGGGAUUUGCUGCUAAUUUAGGCAGAGGAACCAUCAUGGAAGCUGAGCUUUGGGGUGUUCUCAUGGGCCUUUCUAUAGCUUGGGACGAGGGUUGCAGGGACGUGAUCCUUGAAUGCGAUUCUUGGGAUGCUGUUAUUUCAAUCCAAAAACCUAUAUUGGCUUUGUACCCACUUUACAAUCUCAUUCUUGACUGCAAAGAAGCCAUUGAAAGAAAUUAGAGAUGCGAAGUCAUUCAUAUCUAUCGAGAAAAGAAUGCAUCAGCUGAUCAUAUGGCUGACUUGGGUCAUGGGCUCCUUGGCCUUCAUGUUUUUGUUUCUCCUCAUUCCUCUGCUACUAAUUUUCUAGCUUCUGAUUCUAUUGGCAGAGCCCUUCCUAGGGCUGUUCUUGCCUAGUUCUGUUUGUCUUUGUUUUGCUUGUCUGGCUUUGCCAUCCUCUGUACCAAAAAAAAGAAAUAUAUUUUUUUGAGUACUUUGCUAUGUUUACACUAGGAGGAGGGAGAAUUCAACUAAGUUACCUAAUGGGCAGCUUAAUUUGGUAUCGAAUUCAUCAUCCACGAGAUUCGAACUUAAGAUCUCUCACUUCUAAAUGAAAAGAAAUAUCACAAGACCGUAAUACUGAAUGAUAAUACUCAAAACCUGAAACUAUUAGUGAAUUUUAUAUCAUAAGCAAAAUUCAAAUUGUCUUCCCUGAUAGGAUUAGUUUUUAAAGUGGAAAAAGGACAAUUCAUAAUUUCAUAUGGGACGAGAUUCUCUUCGGAUCCUUAUAUUUUAGCUGUUUAUCGUUUAUCAUGCGAUCAGUUUUAGUUAGAUACUAUUUAUGUUUAAUUUUAUAUAAAAAAUUAAAAAUAAAUUUUUACCGAUAUAUAAUGAACGACUAAGAUGUAAGGAUUCUUAAGAUCCCCAUCAUUUGAAUCCAAAUUCCAUUCAUAUGGACAUAAAAAGAAAUAAGACAUUUCCUAAAAGACAUAUAAUAUUUACAAAAAUGUAUCCACUUGUCAUCUUGAUUUUCCAAUAACAAAAAAUUGACAGAUAAUAAUUUUUUAUUUCUUAUUUUUAUCAAAAAAAAAAAAUUGAUGAGUGAUUAAGGAAGAACCGAAGAAAGUAUAUAAGAACAGUUGUGAUCAGGGAGCGCAGCUACAAAACCCUCACAGAGACAGAGAGCUAUGGAGGAAGUAGCUAUCGUUUUAUAUCCAUCACCGCCGAUUGGCCACUUGGUCUCCAUGGUAGAGCUAGGCAAGCUCAUACUCACCCACCACCCUUCUCUGCGCGUCCACAUCCUCAUCACCACCCCGCCCUACCGCGCCGACGACACCGCCUCAUACAUCACCUCCGUUUCCGCCACCAUCCCUUCCCUCAUCUUCCACCACCUCCCCACCAUCUCUCUCCCUCCCUCCCUCGCCUCCUCCCCCAACCACGAAACCCUAACCUUCGAAGUCCUACGCCUCAACAACCCUAACGUCCACCAAGCCCUCCUCUCCAUCUCCCAGAACUUCUCCAUCAAAGCUUUUGUCAUGGACUUCUUCUGCGCUCUCGGGCUCUCCGUUGCCACCGAGCUGAGCAUCCCCAGCUACUUCUUCUACACGUCCGGCGCCGCCACCCUCGCCGGCUUCCUUUGCUUCCCCACCAUUCACAACAAUACCGACAAAAGCCUCAAAGACCUAAAUACCCUUAUCAACAUUCCAGGAGUCCCGCCGAUUCCUUCCUCCGAUAUGGCGAAACCGAUUCUUGAACGAAACGACAAGGCGUACGAACAUUUCCUAGAAAGCUCAAAGCAGUUCCCCAAAUCCGCUGGGGUUAUCGUAAACACGUUCGAAUCUCUCGAACCUAGAGCUCUCAAAGCAAUAUCGGACGGUCUGUGCUUGCCCGAGAACUUUCCCACGCCGCCGGUCUACCCCAUCGGACCGCUGAUUGUUUCCCACGGCGGUGGAGGCCGCGGGGUCGAGUGUUUGAAUGGCUGGACUCACAGCCAAGUGGAAGCGUGGUGUUCCUCUGUUUUGGGAGCUUGGGAUUGUUUUCAAAGGAGCAGUUGAAGGAAAUUGCAAUUGGGUUGGAGAAUAGUGGGCAGAGAUUUUUGUGGGUGGUCCGUAAUCCGCCGGCCCAUAAUCAAAUUGGGGUGGCCAUUACGGACCAGUCCGAUCCAGAAUUGAAAUCUUUGCUUCCCGAUGGGUUCUUGGAUCGGACCAAAGACCACGGUCUCGUGGUCAAGACGUGGGCCCCGCAAAUGGCGGUGUUGAAUCACGACUCGGUGGGUGGGUUUGUGAGUCAUUGCGGGUGGAACUCGGUGUUGGAAUCGGUGUGUGCUGGGGUGCCGAUGGUGGCUUGGCCACUCUACGCCGAGCAGAGAUUCAACCGGGUCGUUUUGGUGGAGGAGAUUAAAAUUGCAUUGCCAAUGAACGAGUCGGAAGACGGGUUUGUGAUUGCGGCAGAGGUGGAGAAGCGAGUUAUCGAGUUGAUGGACUCGUCCGAGGGCGAGUCGAUUAGGAUGCGUACAAAGGCUUUUCAGAACGAAGCCCAUGCAGCGUUGGAUGAGGGCGGGUCGUCUCGGGUUGCAUUGAAUAAACUACUUGAACUAUGGAGCCAAACCGGUUAGAGUCCGACCGGGUUUAUGACUUUUUUUUCUUUGACCGGGUUUAUGACUUUGUUAUUGUAUUUUCCGGCCAUGAUUUUCUUCUUGUUCAAUUUUAUCAACGGAAUCUUCAAUUACAAAUGAUCAAUACGAUUCAUGCCAAUAAUUACUACGAUUAACAGUAUUUCCGACAAUGAUUUUCUAUUUUUUUUAGUUAAUUUUAUCUGCAACAUGUUAUUUUGAUUGUGUUAGAUGAAUUCUCAAAAAAUCAUGUUUCACUGGUGAAAGAAGAGUUGUAAAUGCGGUUGAAAACCAAUAGCAAAUGAACA